AGAGAGAGAAGUUCAAGAGUACGUGAAACUGCUUAGAGGUUAAGCCCGAUGAACCUGAAUAUCCGUUAUGGGAAAUUCAUCACUAGAAAUAUUUUAUUAUUACAAUAAUUUAUGAAUGGUGUGCAAUUUUCCCAUAUAAGGACAUUGUAAUAUGUUAAUGUCUAAAUGCGUAUUAUAUGGAUUUAUUCAUAAGUUUAUUCAUUAUUUGAGUAUUUAUAUUUAAAUGGAAUAAUAGAAUUUUUCCGAAUAUGCCAUUGACAUAUUUAUUAUAUAUAGCGCUUAAAUUUUCGGAUUUUAUAAUAUUAUAUUUACCAUUGGUAUUUGUAAUUAUUAUAUGCGUUUAUAUGAUUAACAAUGCUAUAGAUUCAGGAUACCUUCGGGACCCGUCUUGAAACACGGACCAAGGAGUCUAACAUAUGUGCAAGUCAUUGGGUUUUUAAAACCUAAAGGCGUAAUUAACUUAACUGUUAAUGGGAUCAGUUUAUAUUUGUUAUAAAUAUAAAUUCAAUCCCGGGGCGUUCUAUAUAGUUAUGUAUAAUAGUAUUUAUAUUAUUUAUGCCUCUAACUGGAGCGUACCUUGAGCAUAUAUGCUGUGACCCGAAAG
rnacentral:rRNA from 1 species